AGCUGACAAGCAGUAGAAGGCUUGGUGGGGAAACCCACAAUCCAGAAACACAGCAGAAACCAUGGAGGGAUGUGAGGCGAUGAUCCGGCGAUAAGUGAAUGGAAGCACAGAGCUUAAAUACUGGAGGCUUGGAUUCCCACAAAGACUCACAUGGCUUCACACGCUCUGCUCCCUCAUGGACUCUGCUUCCCCACUUCUGGACUCCUUUUUCCUCGACCCUUUUUCUCCGUCUUGUGAGUAUCCCUCCUUCGUUUAUUUUUGUUAGUCCAGUUUAGUAUUGGUUGACUUCCGUUUCUGUAUUCGUAGUGUUUGCUGGGUUUUGAAUAGCUAAGUUUAGUUUUGUUUCCCCAGUUCAGCUCUCCAUUUAUGUACUAGUUUAGUUAUCUUUUUAAAUGAAACUCUUUCCAUUAUUCACCCGUCUGGAAGUCUCUCUGUGUCUGUGCCUGCGUUGUCCAACUCAGGGCCCAAACCGUCCCUUAAACGACCCUGGGUCCGUUUCACGAAGCAGGUUCAACAAACUCUGUGUAACCCUGAACUCUGAGUUGAUCUACUCUGAGAUAGAAAACUCUGAGUUUUCGGUUUCACAACGGCUGAUUUGAGUUGGUUUAAUCAACUCGGAGUAGUUUCACCCAGAGUGCACCGCAACUAUAAAAAGACAGCAUCAAUGGAACCCCGAUUCGACGACUCACCGUGGUGACGGGGGAGCGGAGAGCUACGUUUUUUACACCACUUGAACUGGACAUCUUAAUGCGUUCAUAUGGCGACUUCGAACACGUUUUUAGAAAGAAGUGCAACACCUGCAGCUGUAAAAGAGAGGGAGACGGCGUGGGAGAACAUUGCUGCCCGGGUCAAUGCGUAAGUUUAAAUCACAAUAAUAUUACAGGAAAACUGUUUAAUAGCAGCCUAUUCUGUUAUUUCAUUUAGGUGCAAUCCUGCGGGGGAGAAGCGCAUGUGGCAGGAGCUGAAGAUGAAAUAUAAAAACACUGUUCAAACAGAAAGAAAGCAGAUGCCUGUAAAAAGGGAGGUGGCCCAGCAGCACCACCUGUAACGGAGGCAGAGGAGCUGGUCCUAAGCCAGAAUUUGGGAAGGCCGGUGGCUGAGGGAAUCCCUGGAGGGAGCUCAUCCUCUGAGACCACAUCCCAAGACACAAGUGCGCGUGUGUGCGCGCGUGCGUGUGUUUAUGCGCCCACUGAACAUUUGCCAUAAGGAAGCACAGAGCACUGCAUUGUUUCUGCGCAAGAGGAAAAGGUGCAACAGAAAAUUGGAACUUCCAAGCGUACUUGUGGAGAUGCAGGCUGAGAAGGAGCGGAACCGUGCCCAGCAUGAUGAGAACAUCUGGUUGCUCCUCAGCGAGGCAAGAGAGAAUGAAGCGGCCUUGCAGCGGGAGGAGAUGGUCCAGAAUGCUGCCUUCAACCAGUCAUUCCUGGGUGUACUGGGGCAGCUGGGGCAGGUAGUCCUGGGUGUGCUGGGGCAGCUGGUGCAGGCAGUGCUGGGUGUACUGGGGCAGCUGGUGCAGGCAGUGGGCAGCCAGCGAGUCCACCUCCCAGAGACUUGAGAUUUAGUUGUAUAUAGUUGUACUUUUAGCCCUCCACUGUAGGAGAGGCCCACCACAGUUUGUACUUUGCACAUUGUAAAUAGUUUUGAUUUUGCUGCUGACUAAUAAACUAUUUUGUGACUUAUGUGAUUGCAUCAUAACUUUUCAUUUUGUCUGUUAAGACUCUGGUAGGAAAAGAGUCAACAGUCUGAACCAAACAAUUCUGUAUUCCCUA